rnacentral:rRNA from 1 species
GACGAACGCUGGCGGUGCGCCUAAUACAUGCAAGUCGAACGGUGAACGGGGCUUCGGCCCCCGGAUCAGUGGCGAACGGGUGCGUAACACGUGGGCAACCUGCCCCUCACUCUGGGAUAACCCCGGGAAACCGGAGCUAAUACCGGAUACUCUCGAAGGACCGCAUGGUCCCUCGAGGAAAGGUCCGCCGGUGAGGGAUGGGCCCGCGGCCUAUCAGCUCGUUGGUGGGGUAACGGCCUACCAAGGCGACGACGGGUAGCUGGUCUGAGAGGACGGCCAGCCACACUGGGACUGAGGUACGGCCCAGACUCCUACGGGAGGCAGCAGUAGGGAAUCUUGCGCAAUGGGCGAAAGCCUGACGCAGCGACACCGCGUGAGGGACGAAGGCCUUCGGGUCGUAAACCUCUUUCGGCAGGGACGAAGCGAUCGUGACGGUACCUGCAGAAGAAGCUCCGGCUAACUACGUGCCAGCCGCCGCGGUAAGAC